rnacentral:rRNA from 1 species
CAAUAGCGUAUAUUAAAGUUGUUGCAGUUAAAAAGCUCGUAGUUGGAUUUCUGUUCUUGGGAUCUGGUCCGCCUCACGGUGAGCACUGGAUAACUGGGGACAUCCUCUCGAAGGCGGCAGGUGCACUUGAUUGUGUGUUUGUUGAAUUCGGGACCUUUACUUUGAAAAAAUUAGAGUGUUCAAAGCAGGCGUCGGCUUGAAUACAUUAGCAUGGAAUAAUGGAAUAGGACUUUGGUUCUAUUUUGUUGGUUUCUAGGACCGAAGUAAUGAUUAAUAGGGACAGUUGGGGGCAUUAGUAUUUAACUGUCAGAGGUGAAAUUCUUGGAUUUAUGAAAGACUAACUACUGCGAAAGCAUUUGCCAAGGAUGUUUUCAUUAA